rnacentral:rRNA from 1 species
AUUGAACGCUGGCGGCAUGCUUUACACAUGCAAGUCGAGCGGCAGCGCGGGGGCAACCCUGGCGGCGAGCGACGAACGGGUGAGUAAUGCAUCGGAACGUAUCCUCGCGUGGGGGAUAACCCAGCGAAAGUUGGGCUAAUACCGCAUGAGCUCUGAGGAGGAAAGCGGGGGACCUGCGAGGGCCUCGCGCUGGAGGAGCGGCCGAUGUCCGAUUAGCUAGUUGGUGGGGUAAAGGCUUACCAAGGCGACGAUCGGUAGCUGGUCUGAGAGGAUGAUCAGCCACACUGGAACUGAGACACGGCCCAGACUCCUACGGGAGGCAGCAGUGGGGAAUUUUGGACAAUGGGGGCAAGCCUGAUGCAGCCAUGCCGCGUGAGUGAAGAAGGCCUUCGGGUUGUAAAGCUCUGUCGGACGGGACGAAAUGGGCGGGACUAAUACUCCUGUCUGAUGACGGUACCGUAAGAAGAAGCACCGGCUAACUACGUG